AGGUAAACUUUCACUUUCCAAAUUACAACCGGACUAUCUUCUCGAUAAGCGGUCCUUGGAUUUGGACACUAAUCAGUGAGAGGAAUCCCAUCCCAUCAUCCUGGUGUUGCUUAUCCACCCAGCUGUGGCACAUUUCAUCAAAGAUCAGGAAAGUUUCCACUUUCUAAAAUGGUGCAGUCAGCGAUUCCCAGAACUCAGGAUUGUUUUAGAAAACUGAGAGAUGAAUUGUUUGAUAAGGGUCAUCCAAUGAAACUGAACAGCGGAAGAUUCAGGACAGAUGACAAGUGACUGCCUGGGGCACCAAUCUUUCAGAGCACCUGACAUGGGCUACCUACUCCGCUACCCACUCAGAAUCUGAAACCAAUAGUACAUACAAUUCAUUGUCACUUUUAAAGCUGGGGACACCAAUCUCUGUGGCCAGCAUUGUGUUAAUGGUCAUUUUUGUAUUGAAUUUUUCCCAUAAAUUAAAAACAUUGCUGUUCAUUCAACAAAUUGCAUGUGAGUGAUUGUG